GGAGGAAUGGCAGAGUGGUCUAAUGUAACAAAUGAUGUAAAUUGUUUGUAAGGUUAACGCCUUCGAGGGUUCGAAUCCCUUCUUCCUCCG
rnacentral:tRNA from 1 species